ensembl:lncRNA
UUCCAGUACAUUGCUUCUUUGUUUUUGAUGUAGUUAGUGCCAUUUUAAUGUUUGAACUUGUAGAUGUGCAAUGCUUCUGUAAGUUAACCAGCAGCUCAACUGCUGUGAAGAAUCAGAAAUUAAUGAAGUAUGUAGAAGCCCUGAGCAGAGAGUUCCCUUCUACAAGCAUAUAUUCAGAUCCUAUGUACUGACUUUCAUGAAAUUAUUCUAGAUUUAUACUAACACAAGUGAGAAGGGACUCGAACAGCCUCCCUUGAAGCUGAAGGACACACAUCAUGAGACAAGCUUUGCACUAAUCUGCAGUCUUCACCUUUCAGUGAAAUGACCAGAUGUCUCAGAAAGCCUGGAGCGAUGCUGGCAUCAGGAGACUUCGCCCCCAUCCUGAGUGACUGCCGACUGAGAUGCCAAUAUGUUCUGGCAUCGGACACCCAAACCUCAUAAGGAUCUCCUGUCUUCAGGCAUGCACUGUGGACAAUGCUGUGUGUGAGACACUUCAGAGCUGGUCAUGCUGGGGUUUAAAGGGCUGUGGAAGGACUCCCUCUGGAAAGCAAAAGAAUGCAGCGACCUACUGUGUCCCUCAUACACUAAGGUGAGUUUGAGUUUUACCACCGCUUUCAAGGCCGACUGGGUCUGACUUGAUCUUUUGUUGUUUGUUUUUUUUUCUUCACUCUGAGAUCAUCUUCUCACUCAGGUUAUUGAGGAACAACCCUUUUGUGUCAGACUCAUAUCUGGAAACAUAUACCCAGUUCCAAGUAUCUGGAUGCACUGGAGAGCUCCUCAAAGGGGAUUUCAGAUGGAUCCUCAAUAAAAUCCUCCACGAGACUCCUUUUGUGUAGAAGAAAUAACGCUUUUCAUCCAGAACGAGGGAAUCCUGCAGAUGAACAGUCUACCCCUAGAGGUCACUGCGAUCCAGGGAUUUUAAGGCUGAAAACGCUGACAAAACAGCAUGAUUCAAAAGGACUCCGAGAUCUCAUCUCUGGCAAGCAAAUCACCGGAGAGUCUUCAGCUGAAGACAUCUGUGAUUUCUACCACGAGUUGCUCCUGGAUUACGUAACAAUGUCUGUAUGGCAAAUCCUGAGUUUUCUUACAGUGGAGUCUUGGAGUGCAAAGAGUAUAGAGACAACUAAUUCAAAAAUGAAACCUACCAGAGUGAGCAAGGACAGCCCUGGACACCUACAGCGUCUCAAUCAGAGGGUGACAGACGUUGCAACAGCAUACAGACCGUCUUCAGUAUGCUGCUGUCAGUCACUGGUGACUGAAGCUAUUCGUGGUCCAUAAUAAUGCACAGCUGCUCUGCAGGAGAAAUACCAAAGCUAAACAAACACUGCGCAGCACUAAUCAUCUAAUUUGGUUUUGGCAUUCUUAAAGUUCUGAUAAAUUCAUUUUAAAUAAGAGAGAUUGUUUUUCUUUCCAGUACAUUGAAGUGAUUUCAUGGGUUGUGUAACCUUCUUCCAAGCAAAUCAUACUUUCUGUGGACUUUUCCGAGACUGUUCGCUGAGACUUUCCUUCUUAUGAUGUUUACUGUUAACCGUUUGGAAGCGCAACAGAAAAUGAUGGGGGUUUAUUUCUCACUAUGAAGUACACUGUAAAUUUGAAAAAAUGAAAGCAGGGAACAGCUAAGUGAGAAUUAUUUUUUUUAUAUAUAACGUGUUCACCAGUUUCCUGGGCAAAGUUUAGAUAUAAUACAACAGGGGGGCAAUUUCUUCAGGAGAGCUUCUGGAUAAAAAAAGGCUGUUACUGUUGGCUCGUGUUGUUCUUGACUACCUUAGAAUGAGGAAUAUGGUAGAGUCCUCCAACUCCACAUACUGCAAAUGAGGGCUUGGUCAGAGUCCCUGGUAAGGAGUUAGCAUUUGAUUUCAGAAGAAGCAUGACUGGCUCUAGGAAAUGAGGAAAGCAGUUAUCUCUCUGCUAGAAAAACAGCUCAGGGAAAAAGACUGUCUUCUUUUGGGCUGAAUUUGUGCCUUUUUGGAGUCCAUGCUACAGUCUUUGGUAAAAUUGGGAUUUCACCACUAAUACUGCUUAACCCAUCUUUCAUUAAAAAAAAAAAAAA